rnacentral:rRNA from 1 species
ACUUAAGAAAAUAAGUUCAAGCGGUGGAUGCCUUGGCAUUCAGAGGCGAUGAAGGACGUGAUAAUCUGCGAUAAGCUUCGG